UACGUAGGGUGCAAGCGUUGUCCGGAAUUAUUGGGCGUAAAGGGCGGGUAGGCGGCCACCGCAAGUCAGUUGUGAAAUCUCUGGGCUUAACCCAGAAAGGUCAACUGAUACUGCGGGGCUAGAGUGCAGAAGGGGCAACUGGAAUUCUCGGUGUAGCGGUGAAAUGCGUAGAUAUCGAGAGGAACACCUGCGGCGAAGGCGGGUUGCUGGGCUGACACUGACGCUGAACUGCGAAAGCUAGGGGAGCGAACGGG
rnacentral:rRNA from 1 species